GGAAUAUUGCACAAUGGGCGCAAGCCUGAUGCAGCAACGCCGCGUGAGGGAUGACGGCCUUCGGGUUGUAAACCUCUUUUAGCAGGGAAGAAGCGAAAGUGACGGUACCUGCAGAAAAAGCGCCGGCUAACUACGUGCCAGCAGCCGCGGUAAUACGUAGGGCGCAAGCGUUAUCCGGAAUUAUUGGGCGUAAAGAGCUCGUAGGCGGUUUGUCGCGUCUGCUGUGAAAUCCGGAGGCUCAACCUCCGGCCUGCAGUGGGUACGGGCAGACUAGAGUGCGGUAGGGGAGAUUGGAAUUCCUGGUGUAGCGGUGGAAUGCGCAGAUAUCAGGAGGAACACCGAUGGCGAAGGCAGAUCUCUGGGCCGUAACUGACGCUGAGGAGCGAAAGGGUGGGGAGCAAACAGGAUUAGAUACCCUAG
rnacentral:rRNA from 1 species